GCCGGCCUCGCGGCAGCUGGGCCCUCCCCCGGCGCCGGCAGCCUCGCGGAUACCGCCCCUGCCUCCCUCCCGCCCGCCGCAGCCGCCUGCCGGCGGAUCUCCCAGCCGCCGGCCCACGCGUCCGCCUCCGGUCGUCAACUCCCCGCCCCCACAGAGGACCGACUGCCCAGACCGCCGGUCCCGGGGCUCCCUGGGCGGGGCCGAUCCCAGGGAGCCCCCUGACUGCCUCCAAGAGCUGGGUGGGGAAAGGGAGCUUAGCCCGCCGCCGCCUCCGAGCUGGCCGCCAGUGCCCAGGUAUGACAUAAGAACAAAAGACGAAUAAGGCAGACGAAGCUUCGCAUCAAGCAAAGCCCUGAAAACAGCAGCUCCUCCCCGCCCCCCCCCCCGCGCCCCACAGUCGGUUAAAAUUUUAUGGGAUUAAAUGACUUUUCAGAAAUGGCCAAAGUAA